rnacentral:sRNA from 1 species
CAGACUGCCUUGGACACUGAAGUCCUCUGUUUAGCUACAGAAUGAGUACAUCAUAGGCAGCUGCAUUGCAGAUUUCCCCAAUAUUGUCCCUCUAAAGUGCUUCAACAUUCUGCUGACACUGUUGCUAGGAGCAAGAGGGUCAUUAGGGUCAUUUGUACCUAUUCUGUCCUUACCCUUA